AUUGAACGCUGGCGGCAGGCCUAACACAUGCAAGUCGAGCGGAUGAAGGGAGCUUGCUCCUGGAUUCAGCGGCGGACGGGUGAGUAAUGCCUAGGAAUCUGCCUGGUAGUGGGGGAUAACGUCCGGAAACGGGCGCUAAUACCGCAUACGUCCUGAGGGAGAAAGUGGGGGAUCUUCGGACCUCACGCUAUCAGAUGAGCCUAGGUCGGAUUAGCUAGUUGGUGGGGUAAAGGCCUACCAAGGCGACGAUCCGUAACUGGCCUGAGAGGAUGAUCAGUCACACUGGAACUGAGACACGGUCCAGACUCCUACGGGAGGCCGCAGUGGGGAAUAUUGGACAAUGGGCGAAAGCCUGAUCCAGCCAUGCCGCGUGUGUGUAGAAGGUCUUCGGAUUGUAAAGCACUUUAAGUUGGGAGGAAGGGCAGUAAGUUAAUACCUUGCUGUUUUGACGUUACCAACAGAAUAAGCACCGGCUAACUUCGUG
rnacentral:rRNA from 1 species